UGGCUCAGUUGGUAGAGCAUGGUGUUUGCAACGCCAGGGUUGUGGGUUCGAUUACCAC
rfam:Salmo salar isolate Sally breed double haploid chromosome ssa17, whole genome shotgun sequence.